UGUAUGUGUAUGUGUGUUUGUCUUGACUCUUGGUCAAAGAUUUGAGACAGGUGCAAAAACUAAAUCCUUUGCCACCCAGAACUCAUUGUUCGAUGUGAGUCCUGAUACAGAGGAGAAGGAACAUG